rnacentral:rRNA from 1 species
GAGGACCUGGAAGAGCCAACCCCGUCUGGUCAAGGUAGGGUUUUGUUUCCGCCCCAUCUGGUCCUUUCUUCUUUCCGUUUUGUUUCAUCAACUCUCCCACUUGGUUUUUCUCUUCUCGGGCGCAAGCUGCAGACGGAGAGAUCUUCCUUGUGGAACCGGGGGCUGUUGACAGAGCGGAUAUCAGGGGGAAAGGUCUAUUUUCAGGUGAGGAAAAAAUUUAUUUUUUUAAAGGAAGCAGAGCUCUGGUCCGUUUACCUUGAAUAAAUUAAAGUGUUCAAAGCAGGCUUCAAUUGAAAAGCCAUGAAUACGUUAGCAUGGGAUAAUGGAAUAGGACUUUGGUCUUAUUUUGUUGGUUUUUUUCUUUGUCUUCCAAGACCGAAGUAAUGAUUAACAGGGACAGUCGGGGGCAUUUGUAUUUAAUUGUCAGAGGUGAAAUUCUUGGAUCAAUUAAAGACAAACUUCAGCGAAAGCAUUUGUCAAGGAUGUUUUCAUUAAUCAAGAACGAAAGUUAGGGGAUCGAAGAUGAUCAGAUACCGUCGUAGUCCUAACCGUAAACGAUGCCGACCGGGGAUCGGAGGAGGCCUCACUCGAUGGCCCCUCCGGCACCCUCUCCCGGGAAACCUCGAGUCUUUGGGUUCUGGGGGGAGUAUGGUCGCAAGGCUGAAACUUAAAGAAAUUGACGGAAGGGCACCACCAGGAGUGGAGCCUGCGGCUCAAUUUGACCCAACACGGGAAAACUCACCAGGUCCAGACUCAGUAAGGAUUGACAGACUGAUAGCUCUUUCUUGAUUCUGAGGGUGGUGGUGCAUGGCCGUUCUUAGUUGGUGGAGUGAUCUGUCAGGUUAAUUCCGUUAACGAACGAGACCUUGUCCUGCUACUAGUGGUGUGGACCCAUCCGUUCCAAAGGGGCUCUUCCUGUCACAUGCCUGGCUGGGCUUUCGGGUCUGGUCAGGUGUGUGGCGUGGAAUCCUCUUGGUUGGGUCCUGCAACCUCGCUUCUUAGAGGGACCAUCUCGCUUCCAAACGAGAUGGAAGCUCAAGGCAAUAACAGGUCUGUGAUGCCCUUUAGAUGUUCUGGGCUGCACGCGCGCUACACUGACGGGAUCAGCGAGUUCACAUCUCCCUUGGCUUAGCGGCCUGGGUAAUCUCGUGAAACCCCGUCGUGCUGGGGAUAGACCAUUGUAACUAUUGGUCUUGAACGAGGAAUUCCUAGUAAGCGCGAGUCAUCAGCUCGCGCUGACUGCGUCCCUGCCCUUUGUACACACCGCCCGUCGCUCCUACCGAUUGAAUGGUCCGGUAAAGUUUCCGGAGUGGGGGUUCCCUGCUCUCCCCUUCGGGGGAAGCACAGCCCUCGCGAAGUUACCUGAACCUUACCAUUUAGAGGAAGGAGAAGUCGUAACAAGGUACCCGUAGGUGAACCUGCGGGUGG